rnacentral:misc_RNA from 1 species
AAGUCGUAACAAGGUCUCCGUUGGUGAACCAGCGGAGGGGAUCAUUACCGAGUUUUACAACUCCCAAACCCCUGUGAACAUACCUUAAUGUUGCCUCGGCGGAUCAGCCCGCGCCCCGUAAAAACGGGACGGCCCGCCAGAGGACCCAAACUCUAAAUGUUUCUUAUUAUAACUUCUGAGUAAAAACAAAACAGAUAAGUCAAAAA